ACUGCGUUGUGCCCUUGUCAUUUUUCCAGCCCCGUGUGAUUGAUACUACUGGACGGAGAACUGAUAAGGGCGUGACCUUUG
rfam:Operophtera brumata OBRT01_Sc03517, whole genome shotgun sequence.